rnacentral:tRNA from 1 species
GCCCUGAUGGUGGAAUGGCAGACACGCUAGGCUUAGAACCUAGUUUUCUAACGAGAGUGCAGGUUCAAGUCCUGCUCGGGGCA